CAGAUAAAACUUUACUCAAGAAAUGGAAGUGUGCAACGUUGACUUCGUUACAUAAACAAGCCUCAAUCGGUCAGAAAUGUUUUUGGUUGGUUUGACAGGCGGUAUAUCGACAGGGAAAAGUACUGUUUCCAACAAAUUCCGCCAACUUGGAUGCCCUGUCAUUGACGCUGACAAGCUUGCAAAAGAUGUGGUGGAGCCUGGUAAACCUGCCUGGUACAAGAUCCGGGAAACAUUUGGCGAAGACUUCUUUCAUGAUGACGGAACAUUGAACCGAGCAAAGCUGGGUGCACUCAUCUUCUCUGAUGGCGACAAGCGGCAACUCCUCAACUCCUUCACACACCCAGAGAUCUACAAGAAGAUGCUGUGGCUGCUCCUCAAGUACUUUGUCCUGGGGUACAGUUUUGUGGUGCUGGACACUCCCCUGCUGUUUGAGAGUGGCAAGAUGGUGCCUUACAUGACCUACACAGUCGUCGUGUCCUGUUCUGAAAGACAACAACUGCAGCGCCUGAUCGCAAGGAACAGACUUUCUCGACCUGAUGCUGAGUCCAGGAUCUGCUCCCAAAUGGCGCUGUCGGAGAAGUGCAAGCGUGCCACCUACAUUGUUGACAACAGCGGAACGGUGGAGAUGACCGAGGCUCAGGUAGUGGAGCUCCACAAGAAGCUGCACCGAUCCCGCGCACACUGGCGCAUCCGGACCAUGCUUGUCAUGGCUCUCGUCUCCACCUUCUUCUUCCUCAACUACGUCUACAAACGGCUAUAUUCAGGGAAAUGAAGUGUUGCUCAUUUCCCCUUUGUUCUCUUGGAUCUCAGAGCUUGAUAACUAGGCCGUGAUGUGAUAUGCCCAGUUCAAUUGUAUUCUAGAACCUCUAGGUUUUGUACCAGAAAAAAACAGCAAUUUGUUAAACAGUGUUCCAUCCAAGGGUCUGAAUUUCAUAUUUGGUCAAAGAGCAGAAAAAUAUGCUUCUUGCAGGAUGCAAAAGAAAGGAUAACCAUAUUUUUAGCCUUUUAUCUUUUUUCUUUUGUAAUACAUUUUUUAAUGAUUUUAAUGUGUUUAUAUAAGUAUGUUUUAGAUGAAAUUUUAAAUUUCAUACAUUAUAUCCUGGACAAACUUAAAGUAAAUGUGUGUUUUUUUAAAAAUAUUUUUAAUACUAAAAUUUAUUUUAAGCAGUUAAAAUGUGUUUACAUUUCCACUGAUUUUAUGAUUUGAUGCCAAAUGCGUUGGUGUUUUGAUAUGUGUACAGCAACCAUCCAUGAUAAUGAGUAUUAUAAGCUUGAGCGCAUGUUGUCAUAAUCUGUCUGUCUUUCUCAGGAAUAUUGUCUGUUUCUUUGUUACUCUCAAAUGUUAUAGUAGUAAGAACAACAACAGUGGUCUCAUGGUCUUUGACAAGGAGCCAUGUUUUACAAAAUGACGUUGAUAAUUUCUUGUUUGUUAUGUCCACUGAUGAGCUGCUUUCAGGUGAAAACAAUUGUGCCUUAUUGAUUCUACAGCUGCCCUUUCCUGAGAAAGUUGAUUUGUGUAUUUAUGAGUUUAUUGGAGCUUCAUGGUUUGGCUUUGUUCGGGCCAACUAAUUUUGUUAUGUGAAUUUUACGCAUUUUACAGCUUUUUCAUUGGACACGAUGCCGUCCAGUGACCAAGAAACUGACGUUCAUAAGGGUAUGUCUGGAAUGACGUACACUGUUGUUAUACUUCCACAUUCCUGAGGAAACCCCUGAGAAUUCCUGUCCUUGAAUAAACAGAGGUCCUCCAUCAUACAAUUUGGCCCGCACUCACUCACAUUUCAUACUCCCAAUGAACUCCCCUAAUUGAAAGUCCCAUCUUAAAUAAUGUUGACACAAAGGUUCACAAUAUCAACCUCAAAAUUAUUUUCCCCAAACAAUUUCUUUUAAACGCUAAGCCAGAGUGAAUAAGGGGCUUAAUAUCUGUGGUGCACCAUCAUUGAAUAUCUCUGCUAGACAGGAUGGUCUUCAUGUUAAUCGAUGGUGAUCAGCACCCAUCAGUUAGAACACAAAAUUUUAUUCUGCAUAGUUUCAAAUCAGUGUAGCCAAAAUAAUUUUAAUUGUUUAUUAUCAUGAUUAUCAAACAUUAAAUUUUGCUAAGUUUCCCAUCCAUGUAAAUGGAACUGCUGUCUCCUACUCUUGCCAACACGUUUGCCCCAAAAAGGCCAUGAACCAUCUAAAAAUUGUUUCUCAUGUCAAAAAUGCUGUGUGAAUGGUUUUAAGGCCAUCAGCUAUGGUAGGUAUUGCCAGGUAAAUGUUAACGGUUUUGAUAAGGUUCUGUUAUUGCCACACCUGUCUCACCUGAGUUAAUUAGUUUAUGGUGUCAAGCAGGAGGACUCCAUAUUGGGUCUGGAUUCACUGAUUUCUCUAGUUCACGUGACUAUCACAUUCCACACACAAUAUGGCAGUUGUAACCUUUAUAUAUGUUGCUUGGUGGCAAAUUGUAUACCUAAUUUCUGUCCCCUGCAAAAAGGCCUUGCAGUCUCCAGGUAUAUGUGUUUGUUGAAUGUGUAACGGAGACACAUCCUUUAUUGUACAGGUGUGAUUGUCUUUUCUUCCAACAAUGAACCACGGCAGAGCUUCUCUUUAUGUCGGUUAAGACAGAUCUCACCUCACCCUUCAGGGCUGUGCAUUUAGUCUUGGCUGGAUUGCAUUUACUUACUCUGUGGUUUAACUUGAAGCUUUGGUUGUUGAGAAAUGGUGAAAGGGGGGGGGUAUUUGUAUUUUCACUAUUUUUAAGUUUGGUGAAAUAUAUGAUCCAAGUUCAUAUUGUACAUUAUACAUUUUAUCUGACACUUUUGUGGGGGUCGCUUAGCUCCACAUGCAGCAAUGAUGACGCAACAUAAUCUGCCAUCUGUGAGUAUUCUGGACACUUGUUAUGAAGGCCCUAACCUGUUAGUAUGUGAUUUCUACCCACAAAUAAUACAGAUAAAAGUCUGCAGGUACAUGUAUUCUCAUCAAGAAAUCAAACUGACAAUACUUUUAAGAUGUUAUCUAGGAUUUAGAUGUACUACCCUCAGCAGCCCAAGCUCUGUGGGGUGACGAGACAUUUUGAUCAUUUCUCAAAUCCAACUUGCCAUGAACAGUUUUAAAAAGUAUUUCGUUAUCAUUACAAGAUUCAUCCAAGGUAAUCAAAUUUUGGUCUCGUUUGAAAAAAGAUUUAGUUUUAGUGGAAGAUUUAUCUUACCUUACCUAAGCUCAAGCUCCUCACUGGGAUAGCCCAUUUACAGAGCUCUAUUCUGGGAAGGUAACAGAGGAGCUAGGUCUAACCUAUCUUGUCAUGGUUGCUGAAAAGUUUGAAUUUGCUUUCUUCCUACGAGACUGAGAAAAAACAAAACAUGUCUGGUGACUUAGAGAAAUAGUUGACAGGUUUUAGAGUAUUUUUGUAGUGUUCUAAGUCCACAUAAAGUAUUCAUGUAAUCAAAGUGUGUCGGCAGUAUCUGUCUGUGCCACCAUGCGUCAGGCAGUCAGUACUCAGUAAUAAUUUCACUUAGUAAAAUGAACCUGAAUGUGUUUUUAAAUCUUAUUUAGUUAGAAAAUGGUGAAACAUGGCAAUGCUUAUUUUUUUAUUCAACUUUACAUGGUAUGUUUUUACCGAGCUGGGACUGACUGCCGUCCCAAAGUUCAUAUCAAUGCAAUUUAAGAUGCUAACUGCAGUCUGCGACUUUAGCUGCUAGUCUGAAGCCAGAGUCUAGUAAACUCCUGUUCGGUCAAGUAAGCUCAGCUAAUAAUAAUUGUUCUAAUAACACUAAAUUCUACUGAAUAUUACGCUAAGAGCCGAAUUCAGGCUAGUAGUCACAAACAUUUUGGGCGAAAGCUGUUACAAAGACUUGAACCUAAUCUAUUGUGGUUCUUUGUCAUUUAUUGACUUUUAUGAUAAGCACUAAAUUCAUAUUUUACACAAAGCAGUCUUUCACAUCUUUGUUAUAGGUGCACUUUUACAAUAAGAUUUGGACUAGACUUGGCUGAUGAGGGUUUUUCAUCUGAAUAGUUGAACAGUGUAAUAGCAUGACAGGUUAACUAUAGUAAUAUGAAGGAAUCAGUUGGUCUUUCACUUCUUGUGAGUCUUCUGUUAUAGUCUAUCGUGCCCCUUGGGACAUGUCCCAGUGUGGACCGAGGUUCACAUUGCUUGCACUGGUUACCAUGGAAUGUGACUGAGCGGGAUGGAGCUAGGGAGCCAUGGUGUUCACAAAUAGGGGUUAUGUUCUGUUUGUAGGGUCAGUGACUCAGACUAACGGGAUCGGGUGGUCAGGCUCGCUGACUUGGUUGAUGCAUGUCAUCGUAUCCCAAUUGCAUCGUUUGAUGCUCAUGAUGUCAAUCAUUGGAUUGACUGGUCCAGAUUUGAUUAUUUACAGACCGCCGUAAUAUAGCAGGAAUAUUGCUGAGUGCGGCGUUUAACAACAAACAAACAGUGACUCAGCACUGACGUGGACUUCCUUGUUGAAUUUGUCCGUCUCCAUGGAGACUGUAUCCGAGCAUCUGUGUGUCUGCUUGAUGUUUGUCUGUAUAAUGAGAAGAGUCAAUACCCAUGUUGAUGUACCAUGACUUAUACAUUGAUGAUAAUCGCAUAAUAAUAAUAAUCACAGAUGCUAUGACGAUUUCACUCCAGAUACUGAGCUGCCAAAUGGAUGGUUCAUGUGAGCAGUAACACUGCUAUAGUGAAUUGUUUGUUUGGUGGUAGGCAUCAUCGGUUUGACACAUUGUGUCCAAAGAUAUGAUGGAUGAUUCUGAAUACAAACAAUACACCAUUGUAUUUAAAAACAUUUUGUUUCUUUGCAUUUUCCAACAGCCAAUAACUAUCAUUAUGAAGAAACACAGACACAGCACAGGACACAAUCAGGACAGACACCAGAGUUAGGCACAGACACUACACCAGAGUUAGGCACAGAUACAGCACAGGACACAAUCAGGACAGACACUACACCAGAGUUAGGCACAGACACUACACAGGACACAAAACAGGACAGACACUACACCAGAGUUAGGCACAGACACUACACAGGACACAAUCAGGACAGACACUACACCAGAGUUAGGCACAGACACUACACAGGACACAAUCAGGACAGACACUACACCAGAGUUAGGCACAGACACUACACAGGACACAAUCAGGACAGACACUACACCAGAGUCAGGCACAGAUACAGCACAGGACACAAUCAGGUCAGACACUUCACCAGAGUUAGGCACAGACACUACACCAGAGUUAGGCACAGAUACAGCACAGGACACAAUCAGGAUAGACACUACACCAGAGUUAGGCACAGAUACAGCACAUGACACAAUCAGGACAGACACUACACCAGAGUUAGGCACUAAGCAGGGCACAGACACAGCACAGGACACAAUCAGGAUAGACACUACACCAGAGUUAGGCACAGACACAGCACAGGACACAAUCAGGAUAGACACUACACCAGAGUCAGGCACAGACGCAGCACAGGACACAAUCAGGAUAGACACUACACCAGAGUUAGGCACAGAUACAGCACAGGACACAAUCAGGACAGACACUACACCAGAGUCAGGCACAGACACAGCACAGGACACAA
rnacentral:misc_RNA from 1 species